GAUCCUGGCUCAGGAUGAACGCUAGCGGCAGGCCUAACACAUGCAAGUCGAGGGGCAGCACGGUGUAGCAAUACACUGGUGGCGACCGGCGCACGGGUGCGUAACGCGUAUGCAACCUACCCAUAACAGGGGGGAUAACACUGAGAAAUUGGUACUAAUACCCCAUAACAUCAGGACCGGCAUCGGUUCUGGUUGAAAACUCCGGUGGUUAUGGAUGGGCAUGCGUUGUAUUAGCUGGUUGGUG
rnacentral:rRNA from 1 species